rnacentral:rRNA from 1 species
GUCUGCAACUCGACUACAUGAAGCUGGAAUCGCUAGUAAUCGCGAAUCAGGAUGUCGCGGUGAAUACGUUCCCGGGUCUUGUACACACCGCCCGUCACACCAUGGGAGUCAGUAACGCCCGAAGCCGGUGACCUAACCGAAAGGGAGGAGCCGUCGAAGGUGGGACCGAUAACUGGGGUGAAGUCGUAACAAGGUAUC